GACGAACGCUGGCGGCAUGCCUAACACAUGCAAGUCGAACGGUAAGGCUUCCUUCGGGAAGUACACGAGUGGCGAACGGGUGAGUAACACGUGGGUAACCUACCCUUGACUGGGGGACAACCGAGGGAAACUUCGGCUAAUACCGCUUAACGUGCAUUGCCUCAAGGUGGUGUACCAAAGCUCCGGCGGUUAAGGAUGGGCCCGCGGCAGAUUAGCUUGUUGGUGAGGUAACGGCUUACCAAGGCGACGAUCUGUAGCUGGUCUGAGAGGAAGAUCAGCCAACCGGGAACCGAGACACGGUCCAGACUCCUGCGGGAGGGAGCAAUGGGGGAUCUUGCGAAAAGGGCGAAAGCCUGAAGCAGCAAUGCCGCGUGAGGGAAGACGGCCUUAGGGUUGUAAACCUCUUUCAGCAGGGACGAACACAGACGGUACCUGCAGAAGAAGCCCCGGCUAACUACGUGCCAGCCGCCGCGGUAA
rnacentral:rRNA from 1 species